rnacentral:rRNA from 1 species
AUUGAACGCUGGCGGCAUGCUUUACACAUGCAAGUCGAACGGUAACAGGCCGCAAGGUGCUGACGAGUGGCGAACGGGUGAGUAAUGCAUCGGAACGUGCCCAGUCGUGGGGGAUAACGCAGCGAAAGCUGCGCUAAUACCGCAUACGAUCUAUGGAUGAAAGCGGGGGACCGUAAGGCCUCGCGCGAUUGGAGCGGCCGAUGUCAGAUUAGGUAGUUGGUGGGGUAAAGGCUCACCAAGCCAACGAUCUGUAGCUGGUCUGAGAGGACGACCAGCCACACUGGGACUGAGACACGGCCCAGACUCCUACGGGAGGCAGCAGAGGGGAAUUUUGGACAAUGGGCGCAAGCCUGAUCCAGCAAUGCCGCGUGCAGGAAGAAGGCCUUCGGGUUGUAAACUGCUUUUGUACGGAACGAAAAGGCUCUGGUUAAUACCUGGGGCUCAUGACGGUACCGUAAGAAUAAGCACCGGCUAACUACGUGCCAGCCGCCGCCGUAAGAC